GAACCUGGGUCUCCUGCAUUGCAGGCAGAUUUUUUACCAUCUGAACCAUAAGGGAAGCCCUAUGGCUUACCUCAAUACAAAAAGGUUUUGGUGUUAAAUAAUUAAAAAGAAGAAGAGGGUUAGUGGUCAAUAUCAUGGCUACCAUUUAGGCAGGGCCUUCUGUGGGCUGGGACUCUAACAGAAGCCAGGAGUAGAAAUGACAAUGGCUGGAAAAAUUACAAAAGGCAAGUUGUUGAUGUAGGAACUUUGGCACAGGUUUGAGGACUUAUCUUGAAAAAGAUUGUGAUUCCAGCCCCUUCCUUUUUUUAGCUAUUAGAAACUUUCAGCUACACAAGUAUGAGAUGCCUUUGUGAAAACCUCAAUCCAUACAACAGGUAUUAUCUAUAACUUAAGCAGGUACACAAUUUUAAGCAAAAAAAAAAAAAAUCUGGACUGAGAAACAAACCAAUACUCCAGACCUGAUCCUGAUUAAAAUCAUGUUUAUUCAAUGAUGCUUGUUCUUCUGGUAGAGGGAUAAUAUUUAUCUACUGUAUCAAUUAUGUUAAGUUAAUUUAUAAUGUUCACUCGAUAAUGUUGUUUGCACAUGCUCCUAUUGCUAGGAAAGUGCUACCUAAUUCAUUUUCAUACAUCAAAAUCUAGUAAAUUGAUAUAAUUAUCUUAUUCUCCCUAGAAAUGCUGUUGGGGUCUGGUCUGCAUAUCUCAGAGGGAAGAGGAACGGAACAGUAGGUGACCUCGAGUACCAGAUGUUCAGCCAUGUCUGUAGCACUAUUUUUUAGCAAUACCAUCAAGAGAAGCCAGUUAAGUUUGAAGGAGACUUGCCAAGGUCAUUUCCAAGUUUAUGUGCUCCUGGGUUGGAGAUUGAGACUGGAUGUUUUAUUGAGGAAAUGCUUUGUCGCUAUGACAGUAUGGCUUUUGUUCUGUAUGUUAAGAAGACUUAUGUGCUCUGAUAACAUUUUAUUAACAAGCCAUUCUGAAUAUUUCUAGAAGGUUAUGUUUCCAAAGAAAUUUCUAAAUUAUGUACUAACUUGUUACUUUGCCAGCUUUUCAAUUUUAUGUCAUUAAAAAAAAUAAAUGCAAACAACAGUAGCAAAUUAUAGCAGCAUAAAACCCUAUUGUAACGCCACAUUCUACAAACUUGAAAGGAGAAUAAAAUAGAAUGGGAUAUGCUAGAUAAGGCAUAAUAAAUAGUAAGUAUAUUGAAUAUGUUGCAACUUACUUGCUUGGAAAAUUAGAGUGAUUUCCCAAUAGAAGUAUUUUAAUGUGCAAAUUUCCUAAAUUGUAAAAUUCAAAACAAAAAACCACCACAAUCACACUAAAACCACUCACAGCUAAGAUAUUACCUGCCUAGAAACAGUUUAACUGAUUUUUAAAUAAGGCUUCUUGG
rnacentral:lncRNA from 1 species